GCUUUCGUGGUGUAGUGGUCAGCACACUCGGCGCGUUCGAGAGGUCCGAGGUUCAAGUCCCAGCGACGGCA
rnacentral:tRNA from 1 species